rnacentral:rRNA from 1 species
AUACGGAGGAUGCAAGCGUUAUCCGGAUUUAUUGGGUUUAAAGGGUGCGUAGGCUGUUUGUCAAGUCAGCGGUGAAAAUCUGGUGCUUAACAUCAGGAGUGCCGUUGAUACUGGCGGACUAGAGUAUGAUUGACGUAAGUGGAAUGUAGCAUGUAGCGGUGAAAUGCAUAGAGAUGCUACAGAACACCGAUAGCGAAGGCAGCUUACGAAGUCACAACUGACGCUCAGGCACGAAAGCGUGGGGAGCGAACAGGAUUAGAUACCCUGGUAGUCCACGCAGUAAACGAUGAUAACUGGCUUUUGGCGAUAGACGGUCAGAGGCUGAGAGAAAUCAAUAAGUUAUCCACCUGGGGAGUACGAUGGCAACAUUGAAACUCAAAUGAAUUGACGGGG